rnacentral:rRNA from 1 species
AUUGAACGCUGGCGGCAGGCCUAACACAUGCAAGUCGAACGGUAGCACAGAGAGCUUGCUCUCGGGUGACGAGUGGCGGACGGGUGAGUAACGUCUGGGAAACUGCCCGAUGGAGGGGGAUAACUACUGGAAACGGUAGCUAAUACCACAUAACGUCGCAAGACCAAAGUGGGGGACCUUCGGGCCUCACACCAUCGGAUGUGCCCAGAUGGGAUUAGCUAGUAGGUGGGGUAAUGGCUCACCUAGGCGACGAUCCCUAGCUGGUCUGAGAGGAUGACCAGCCACACUGGAACUGAGACACGGUCCAGACUCCUACGGGAGGCAGCAGCGGGGAAUAUUGCACAAUGGGCGCAAGCCUGAUGCAGCCAUGCCGCGUGUAUGAAGAAGGCCUUCGGGUUGUAAAGUACUUUCAGCGGGGAGGAAGGCGGUGAAGUUAAUAGCUUCACCGAUUGACGUUACCCGCAGAAGAAGCACCGGCUAACUCCGUGCCAGCAGCCGCUGUAA